UACGAAGGGUGCUAGCGUUAAUCGGAAUUACUGGGCGUAAAGCGUGCGCAGGCGGUUCGUUGUGUCGGCGGUGAAAGCCCCGGGCUUAACCUGGGAAUGGCCGUUGAAACUGGCGAACUGGAGUGUGGCAGAGGGGGGUGGAAUUCCGCGUGUAGCAGUGAAAUGCGUAGAGAUGCGGAGGAACACCGAUGGCGAAGGCAGCCCCCUGGGCUAACACUGACGCUCAGGCACGAAAGCGUGGGGAGCAAACAGG
rnacentral:rRNA from 1 species